UACGUAGGGUGCGAGCGUUAAUCGGAUUUACUGGGCGUAAAGGGCGUGUAGGCGGCCCGUCAAGUCAGGUGUGAAAACCGUCGGCUUAACCGACGGCAUGCAUCUGAAACUGUCGGGCUUGAGGGCAGGAGAGGGGAGUGGAAUUCCCGGUGUAGCAGUGAAAUGCGUAGAGAUCGGGAGGAACAUCCAUGGCGAAGGCAGCCCCCUGGGCCUGUACUGACGCUCAUGCACGAAAGCGUGGGGAGCAAACAGG
rnacentral:rRNA from 1 species